AUGCUGGAAUUUUUUGUUUCACACUGUUUUUCAUGUAUCUUUUUUUUUUUUUUCCCCUCUCAAUCUUACAUUUGGUUUAGUAUCACAGUCCAUCAGGUGAUGGUUUUUUCCUGGUCUACAGCACACUCAUUUUUCUUGCUUGCUAUUCCAAGGAGUGAAUGUGCAUUAUGGCUGUAUGAGGUGGAGCAAGCUACUCAGGAAAUGCCUUCAGUGCCAGCUGAGAGUACUGCUCCAGGAACAAUUGCUCCAAAUGAUACAAGUAUUCACUGUUCUGGAUAUAAACCUGUGCUAAAAUCAACUGAUUACAGCUCUGGCCACAGAAAAGAACCAGGAACAAAUGACUUUGAACCAGGUAGUCUGUGCACUUUUAAAUUAAUUAGCAUGUCUUUGAACUUAAUUUAUUUUCUGUUGCAUGGUCUGAAAUAAAUAGCAGUUACUAAUAAUCUUUUUAAAACUAAUUUUUGUGAUACACUGUAAGAAACAGAGAGAAAG
rnacentral:lncRNA from 1 species